rnacentral:lncRNA from 1 species
CGGACUUUGCGGGCGGGCGGGCACUGGUGAGAAGAGGAAGUGGGAGAGGCCUGGGAAGGAAACUUGGAAACCGAAAACUCGGCGGCCGAGGCUCCGUGCCCCGCGCGCAGCGCUGCUCCUGCCCCGGCCAAGGACGCACGGGCCAGCCGGCGGAACCAGAGGUUUUCAGUGAUGUUGAGAGUCAACAGGAAAUUAAUCAGCAAGUAGAAAAUUGAAAGAAGAUCUGCAUCUUACUGCAGGAGUCAUUAAAAUAAAAGCAGAUUUGGCAAAAUGGCAAGUGGAGGAAGACUUCUCACACACAGUUUAAGGAUGAGGAAAUGAAGGCACAGAGCAGUUAUUCAACUUGUCUAAGGCCACACGGCUACUAAGAAUCAUUGCCAGGAUGUACCUCCAGUUUUAUAGGUUUUGGCCACCGUGUGACGACUCCUUCCCUCUUUUGAUGGAUAUCCAGAGAGCACCUUGGGCAGCUACCUGAUUCUUACGACCACCCCCUCCCAGUUUUGGACCAUCAGAGCUGUUGUCAGAAUGUCUUCAUAGGAGUCUCCCAACCUUCUAUUUUUCCUUUGAACUUUGAAAAUCUACCUCCGAAUAUUGCAAGCUCAUGUCUAACUGAGCUAAUGAUAUUCCUCCAUUUUCCCAAAAGUUUAAGCUGCCACUGUCUUUUAGUUGCUAUUUUCUUAACUAACUAGUUUGUUCUGAUGGGUCAAAAUUAAGGGCUUUUGAUAAGGAGAACAGUUAUUAUAUUUUUUCAGACUUCUGGGAGAUGAAGCCACAUGAAGAAUUUAUUGCAUUUGUUGUUCUUAGCUGACCUUACC